GGGGCUGCACUGGUUUCGACGUGGGUUCGGAGUCGCAGCGGGGCAUGUCGAGCUGAAUGCGCUCGUAAAUCAGAUUCAAAAAAACUAACUGCAAACGAUAAACAGUUCGCAAUCGCUGCUUAAUUGAAGCGACUUUGCAACAGCACGCUGAUGGGCUGGGCAAUAGGAUGACGAAGCAAUUCGUUGUUCUUGAGCUGCAAAGAUAAUUACAUCGGCUGGUUCUUGUCCGGGUACCUUGGACAAGAAUGAGAAAAUAGGGUGCUGGCGUUCGAUAUAGCGUGCGACUGCGCGAUGUCGAGGGCGAGAUCAAAUCAGAUCGCUAAACAUGUAGAACUGCGCGAUGAAGGCUUGCGGACGGGGGUUCGAAUCCCCCCAGCUCCACCA
rnacentral:tmRNA from 1 species